rnacentral:rRNA from 2 species
AAAAAGARRGGAGGAARGAGRGAGUGUAUGAUCAUGCACAGGACGAACGUGGCGGCGUGCAUAAUACAUGCAAGUCGAACGAACUCUGGUAUUGAUUGGUGCUUGCAUCAUGAUUUACAUUUGAGUGAGUGGCGAACUGGUGAGUAACACGUGGGAAACCUGCCCAGAAGCGGGGGAUAACACCUGGAAACAGAUGCUAAUACCGCAUAACAACUUGGACCGCAUGGUAAGAGUUUGAAAGAUGGCUUCGGCUAUCACUUUUGGAUGGUCCCGCGGCGUAUUAGCUAGAUGGUGGGGUAACGGCUCACCAUGGCAAUGAUACGUAGCCGACUGAGAGGGUAAUCGGCCACAUUGGGACUGAGACACGGCCCAGACUCUACGGGAGGCAGCAGUAGGGAAUCUUCCACAAUGGACGAAAGUCUGAUGGAGAAGGCCGCGUGAGUGAAGAAGGGUUUCGGCUCGUAAAUCUCUGUGUAAAGAAGAACAUAUAGGAAGGUAGGUG